UGAGUACGAGAUGCUACGGCAUCGAAGCAGUCUAUGUCAUACUUCCAAGAAAAGCUUGCACUGUCAUAAACAAAGAAUGCCUGUACCAUAACCGACACAGGUGGGUAGGUAGAGUAUACUAAGGGGCGCGAGAUAACUCUCUCUAAGGAACUCGGCAAAAUGACUCCGUAACUUCGGGAGAAGGAGUGCCUUAUUUCUAAGGUUGCAAUAACAAGAUCCAAGCAACUGUUUACCAAAAACACAGGUCUCCGCUAAGUCGUAAGACGAUGUAUGGGGGCUGACGCCUGCCCAGUGCCAGAAGGUUAAAGAAGUUGGUUAGCAUUAGCGAAGCUGAUAACUGAAGCCCUGGUGAACGGCGGCCGUAACCAUAACGGUCCUAAGGUAGCGAAAUUCCUUGUCGGGUAAGUUCCGACCCGCACGAAAGGCGUAAUGAUUUGGAUACUGUCUCGGAGAGGGGCUCGGUGAAAUAGACUUGUCUGUGAAGAUGCGGACUACCUGCACCUGGACAGAAAGACCCUAUGAAGCUUUACUGUAACUUGAGAUUGAAAUUGGACUUUAUUUGCGCAGUAUAGGUGGGAGGCGUUGAGAAUAAUCUUGCGGGAUUGUUGGAGCCAUCAGUGAGAUACCACUCUUGUAAUGUUAGAUUUCUAACUUUGUAUCAUUAUCUGGUCAAAGAACAGUUUCAGGCGGGCAGUUUGACUGGGGCGGUCGCCUCCCAAAGGGUAACGGAGGCGCACAAAGGUUUCCUCUGAACGGGUAGAAAUCGUAUCUAGAGUGUAAAGGCAUAAGGAAGCUUGACUGUGAGACCUACAAGUCGAGCAGGGACGAAAGUCGGUCUUAGUGAUCUGACGGUGCUGAGUGGAAAGGCCGUCACUCAACGGAUAAAAGUUACUCUAGGAUAACAGGCUGAUCUCCCCCAAGAGUUCACAUCGACGGGGAGGUUUGGCACCUCGAUGUCGGCUCAUCGCAUCCUGGGGCGGUAGUCCGUCCCAAGGGUUGGGCUGUUCGCCCAUGAAAGCGGUACGCGAGCUGGGUUCAGAACGUCGUGAGACAGUUCGGUCCAUAUCCGGUGUAGGCGUUAGAAUAUUGAGAGGAGCCUUCUCUAGUACGAGAGGACCGAGAAGGACAUACCUCUGGUGUACCAGUUAUCGUGCCAACGGUAAACGCUGGGUAGCUAUGUAUGGAGUGGAUAACCGCUGAAAGCAUCUAAGUGGGAAGCCCACCUCAAGAUAAGUAUUCGC
rnacentral:rRNA from 1 species